AUUGAACGCUGGCGGCAGGCUUAACACAUGCAAGUCGAGCGGAGAUGAGGUGCUUGCACCUUAUCUUAGCGGCGGACGGGUGAGUAAUGCUUAGGAAUCUGCCUAUUAGUGGGGGACAACAUUCCGAAAGGAAUGCUAAUACCGCAUACGUCCUACGGGAGAAAGCAGGGGAUCUUCGGACCUCGCGCUAAUAGAUGAGCCUAAGUCGGAUUAGCUAGUUGGUGGGGUAAAGGCCUACCAAGGCGACGAUAUGUAGCGGGUCUGAGAGGAUGAUCCGCCACAGUGGGACUGAGACACGGCCAAGACUCCUACGGGAGGCAGAAGUGGGGAAUAUUGGACAAUGGGGGGAACCCUGAUCCAGCCAUGCCGCGUGUGUGAAGAAGGCCUUAUGGUUGUAAAGCACUUUAAGCGAGGAGGAGGCUACUGAGACUAAUACUCUUGGAUAGUGGACGUUACUCGCAGAAUAAGCACCGGCUAACUCUGUGCCAGCCGCCGCCGUAAUAC
rnacentral:rRNA from 1 species